CCGGCGACCGGCGCACGGGUGAGUAACACGUAUCCAACCUGCCGAUGACUCGGGGAUAGCCUUUCGAAAGAAAGAUUAAUACCCGAUGGCAUAGUUCUUCCGCAUGGUAGAACUAUUAAAGAAUUUCGGUCAUCGAUGGGGAUGCGUUCCAUUAGCUUGUUGGCGGGGUAACGGCCCACCAAGGCAUCGAUGGAUAGGGGUUCUGAGAGGAAGGUCCCCCACAUUGGAACUGAGACACGGUCCAAACUCCUACGGGAGGCAGCAG
rnacentral:rRNA from 1 species